rnacentral:tRNA from 1 species
GCGAGCGUGGCGGAACCGGCAGACGCGCCAGGUUUAGGUCCUGGUCCCCGACAGGGGGUGGGAGUUCGAGUCUCCCCGCUCGCA